rnacentral:rRNA from 1 species
AACGAACGCUGGCGGCAUGCCUAACACAUGCAAGUCGAACGAGACCUUCGGGUCUAGUGGCGCACGGGUGCGUAACGCGUGGGAACCUGCCCUUAGGUUCGGAAUAACUCCCCGAAAGGGGUGCUAAUACCGGAUAAUGUCUUCUGACCAAAGAUUUAUCGCCUUUGGAUGGGCCCGCGUUGGAUUAGCUAGUUGGUAGGGUAUAAGCCUACCAAGGCGACGAUACAUAGCUGGUCUGAGAGGAUGAUCAGCCACACUGGGACUGAGACACGGCCCAGACUCCGACGGGAGGCAGCAGUGGGGAAUAUGGGACAACGGGCGAAAGCCUGAGCCAGCAAGGCCGCGUGAGUGAUGAAUGCGUUAGGAUUGUAAAGCUCUUUUACCCGGGAUGAUAAUGACAGUACCGGGAGAAUAAGCUCGGGCUAACUCCGU